rnacentral:lncRNA from 1 species
GCCAUAAGGCAAAUUUAGCGCUAUGUUAAGCAAUCGUAAUUGGACUUAUGUAGAAGUCACAACUAUCUGAGGCCGGUCAAUAAUAAUGUAGGCAACAACACAAGUUAGAAGUCUUGGUUAGUGAACCAAGUUCCAACAACUUGCCAUGCCAAAAAGAAAAAAAAAAGAGAAUUGAUCUUGUAUUGGUUUAAGUCCUUUGC